AGUGAGAUCUAUUCUGAUGGGGCUUUUCCUGUAGCUGCACAUCAUUAGAAACACCUCAUAGAGUAACACUGUAGUUUGCUUUCCUCAAUGGACUAUUGGUCAGGUCUGUGAGAAGGAACUAUUAUAGUCUA
ensembl:snoRNA